rnacentral:rRNA from 1 species
ACGGAGGAUGCGAGCGUUAUCCGGAUUUAUUGGGUUUAAAGGGUGCGUAGGCGGGACCUUAAGUCAGCGGUAAAAUUGCGGUGCUCAACACCGUAGAGCCGUUGAAACUGGGGUUCUUGAGUGAGCGAGAAGUAUGCGGAAUGCGUGGUGUAGCGGUGAAAUGCAUAGAUAUCACGCAGAACCCCGAUUGCGAAGGCAGCAUACCGGCGCUCAACUGACGCUGAGGCACGAAAGUGCGGGUAUCGAACAG